AUAUCGGGCACGUCGUCUUCGCUACCCAGACUACAGUAUUUGUUGUGAAUCGGCUCCAGUUAAAUCGAAGAAAACUCAUUCGUAGCCAGACUGGACUGGAACCUAGUAGCUCGCAUCCCUUCAGACGCACACAAUCUACCUAAUGCCUCCCAAGAAAGGCGGUGACAAUAAAGGCGGCAAAGGCGGAGAUAAAGGAGGAGACAAAAAAGAUGGCAAGGGAGACAAGAAAGACGGAAAGGGAAAGAAGUAAACGUAAGAGAGAUGCUCUACCAUUUCUUUCUUCGGCAGCUACGAUAUCGACAUAAUCGUUUUCUCAGUUUUUAUUGUGCUCCUUCCAUUUUGGAAACCCACACCUUAUGCUCCAUUCUUCACUUGGAUCUGCUUGGAUUCUUUGGCAACGACGCAAGUGAGAGGAGACCAGAAUUAGAACUUGGCAAGGUAUAUCUAAAUAGCGGCCGUGCUUGCUGGCCGUGCUGAGUAAUGCAUUUAUUUCAUCCAAAUUUUAAAUGUCGCCAUUUAUAUUGCCCUCUCCUUGUCUGGUAUCAAAUGUUUAGCAAUGUUUAGAGCCACAUCUGCGCUUGGUCACCGUUGAUACUACAUUUCUGUUAAAUUGUUUGAUCGCUGUGAUUUAAUACAACCAGUCUGACCAUGUAA